GAGUAUUUUAUAAUACUAGUGGCGCACCAACACAAUGCAAUAUCAUGUGUUUUAAUCGAUGUUGACUGAUUAAUCGAUGUGUGAUUCCUGUAUUAAUUUGGUUUAGUUUGUUAUGUAUUAAGCCGUUUUUUAUAGAAAGUUAAACAAUUUCACUAUAUAGUCGAAGAGACAUUUCGUAGGUCAUGGUCAUCCAGGAAAAGCCUGCCUGCUAAGAGCCAUCUGCGAAAGCACUGAACUUUCCACAUCUGGUACCGGUAUACUUGGAGACCUUGUUCAUCUAGUAUUAACGCCAUCCACAUCUUUGAAUACCAACCUUACCAAGGAAUAUG
rnacentral:misc_RNA from 1 species